CCUGGACUCUUCACUCACCGCUGUAGCCCCGGGCAUAGCACAGUGCCUGGCACACAGAACGGGCUCCAUCAAUAUUUGUUGAAUGACCACACAAAUACUUAUGAAUACGUGAACGAAUUACCUACCCCACCCAGACAGGAAAGUGUGGCUUUGAUCAGAUUCUUCCGUUGCUGAAAAAAAUCAGCCCACUUCCUGUGGCUUUGAUCUGCAGUCUGAAUUCUAAGCUGCCCUGCCUUCGCCAACGGCUCCCACAGCUCAUUUCCUGCUUUCUGGGCACCUUAUCUCUCUCUCCAAAUAUUCCUCAGCUUUCCCUUUCCAGGCCCUCGCCCUGCCCUGGAGGAGGGAAUCGUGGAAGAGAGUUGGGGUGCAAACACAUACGGAUCCUGAGGUAUUGAAGAAGAAUUUGUCACACCCUGAAAAAUGCUCUCCACAAAGCAUUCCCUCAAAGCCUGGAGUCACUCACCUCCUUCACUCUGGACAUCCCCCCCACUGAUGAUAUUCGUACUUUCAGUUACCAUCUCUUCCUCUGCACAGGAGUCAGCGGACAUGGGUUCAAGCCCCGGUUCUACCACUUAUGAAUGGCAUGACCUCGGCCAAGUGUUGCUUGCUAAGCUCAGUUUCCUCAUCUAUAAAAUAGGCUUAAUGGAGCCAACCUUAAAAGGUUGCUGUGAGGAUUAAAUGAGAUAAUACAUGUGUGGCAGUUUGAAAAUUAUUAAUAUGUGAAAGUUCCUUCUCUUUCAUUUGAAAAUGUUCAGUCUAAGAUGUGAUGAUUUUAUGAAAUACAAUGGAAACAUGAGGAAUUACAUGCAGUAAUUUGUAGUAUUCAGCAAGCAACUUCAUAGGCCAGCUAGAGAAUUUUUCAAAUUUGUAUUUCUGACUUUAACAUAUAUAUGUAUUUUUAAUUUAAAGCCGUCCCUGACUUGCAAUGAGAGGAUUUAUCAAUAUUCUUGGUUUAUAGUGGAAAUUACCAUCAUAAGACCAUGUAUAGAAUUUAAGGAGAAAACAGCUUGAAUUCCUACAACUGCUGGUUGGAUCUGAACCAGUCUCCAUCGAGCCAGAAUCUGUUUCAUAUCCAAGACCGAGAAAAGCAACAUGGAGACAGCCCAGGUUGUCCUGAGAGCAGUUGUCUGAAAAACAUCAUUGUCCAUUUGAGGAAACUGGUUCUUAGAUGGUUGUGAAUUGGCUUCUUACUUUUAAAAGAAUCAUUUUCUUCCUGGCUGAUCCAGGAGAAAAUUGGAAUGAAAGGAAGGGGUUGCAGAUUUGAGGAAUAAAAACAAAGCAAGGUAAAACCUCUUCUCACCUUGCAUUGGAAAAACUCUCUCUUCAGCAUUUUUAACUUUUGAGUCAAAAGACUCUUACAAAUAAGUAUAAAUGUCAUAUACAUCAUUAUGAAAAUAUUAUUGCCAAGAGGUAAUAAGCCAUAUAUGAAUGCCGUGUGCAACUUUAGGGUUUGCACUUCACCUUAAGGUGUUCACCUCCAUUCACAUCUGUUUACACUAUAUUUCUGUUUACUAAGUGGGGAGGGGUUUCCUUUAUAUAGUGCUUCAUUGUUAAGUCAUCGUUCAGUUCUCAGAUAUUCU